GAUGAACGCUGGCGGCGUGCCUAAUACAUGCAAGUCGAGCGAACGGACGAGAAGCUUGCUUCUCUGAUGUUAGCGGCGGACGGGUGAGUAACACGUGGAUAACCUACCUAUAAGACUGGGAUAACUUCGGGAAACCGUAGCUAAUACCGGAUAAUAUUUUGAACCGCAUGGUUCAAAAGUAAAAGACGGUCUUGCUGUCACUUAUAGAUGGAUCCGCGCUGCAUUAGCUAGUUGGUAAGGUAACGGCUUACCAAGGCAACGAUGCAUAGCCGACCUGAGAGGGUGAUCGGCCACACUGGAACUGAGACACGGUCCAGACUCCUACGGGAGGCAGCAGUAGGGAAUCUUCCGCAAUGGGCGAAAGCCUGACGGAGCAGCGCCGCGUGAGUGAUGAAGGUCUUCGGAUCGUAAAACUCUGUUAUUAGGGAAGAACAUAUGUGUAAGUAACUGUGCACAUCUUGACGGUACCUAAUCAGAAAGCCACGGCUAACUACGUG
rnacentral:rRNA from 1 species